UACGUAGGGGGCUAGCGUUGUCCGGAAUCAUUGGGCGUAAAGCGCGUGUAGGCGGUCCGGUAAGUCCGCUGUGAAAGUCGGGGGCUUAACCCUCGGAUGCCGGUGGAUACUGUCGGGCUUGAGUACGGAAGAGGCGAGUGGAAUUCCUGGUGUAGCGGUGAAAUGCGCAGAUAUCAAGAGGAACACCUGCGGCGAAGGCGGGUUGCUGGGCCGACACUGACGCUGAGGCGCGAAAGCUAGGGGAGCGAACGGG
rnacentral:rRNA from 1 species